AUAAAGAAGCAGAUCAAAUGUACACACAAUUGGCAUAAGAAACUGCAAUUUUAAGUUGUUGUGAACCAAAAAGAAGACACCUGUGGAGACCUGUGGACAGGCGUUUGGGGCAGUCUUUGCCCAGGCUUGUUGCAGGGGCGCGUCGGCCUCCAGUAUCUCCAGGGCUCGCGGAAUUCAAUGCUAAACAUGUGAUCAUUUCUCCAACCAAAGAAGAAGCUCGAAGAAUCGACUGGCGUGAGUAGCCAACACUUUUGGCAGCAAUUUCAACAUAAAUGUAAAACACUUUGGAUUGCCUUGAGGCCGAAGAUGUCGCCAGCGGCUGCAAGCCAAGACCUGUCUUAGCCACUUGGAAGCAGUUUAAGCUGAUAAAUGGAUUGAUUAUUGAUGGCAUAUAAAGGGCAGCUGAUGGAAACUUGUGCACACAUCUAUGUUUUCGACGGAUUGGCUCCCGCUCCCAAUGAGACUCUCCAAUGGACUCUAUAAGAAGGAACCGAUAAGCGGGCCAUAACAUGUCACCCAGCCAUCAGCCGCGGAAACCUGUCGAAGAGCGAGCCUCUCUGUGUUUUAUGGCCACUCAAAGGUAAUGGAAAAGGGCAGACUUGAGCCCCAUAAAACCCCCCCAAAAAGCCACAGAAUUUCAAGCAAAGGAAUGCAAUUAGUAGAGCCAAGGGGAAAAUCUUUCCAGGAAAUAAAGUGUUCUCCAAAGAAAAACAUAAUUGCCACACCAAAAAAAAAAAAGAGAAAAUGAAAUCGUAAAAAUUAUUACAAGAACGAAGCCACCCAAAAAAAAAUUAAAUUAAAAUUUAUAGAGGUAAACAAGAGCUAAAAAGAAGGCAAUUAAGUUGA
rnacentral:sRNA from 1 species